rnacentral:rRNA from 1 species
GAGGUAACGGCCCACCAAGGCGACGAUGGGUAGCCGGCCUGAGAGGGUGAACGGCCACAUUGGAACUGAGAAACGGUCCAAACUCCUACGGGAGGCAGCAGUGGGGAAUAUUGCACAAUGGAGGGAACUCUGAUGCAGCGACGCCGCGUGAACGAAGAAGGCUUUCGAGUCGUAAAGUUCUUUUAUAUGGGAAGAUAAUGACGGUACCAUAAGAAAAAGCCCCGGCUAACUACGUGCCAGCAGCCGCGGUAAUACGUAGGGGGCUAGCGUUGUCCGGAAUCACUGGGCGUAAAGGGUUCGCAGGCGGAAAUGCAAGUCAGGUGUAAAAGGCAGUAGCUUAACUACUGUAAGCAUUUGAAACUGCAUAUCUUGAGAAGAGUAGAGGUAAGUGGAAUUUUUAGUUGUAGCGGUGAAAUGCGUAAAUAUUAAAAAGAAUACCGGGUGGGAAGGCGACUUACUGGGCUCAUUCUGACGCUGAGGAACGAAAGCGUGGGUAGCAAACAGGAUUAGAUACCCUGGUAGUCCACCUGUAAACGAUGAGUGCUAGGUAUCGGAAUAAUUCGUGCCGCAGUUAACACAUUAAGCACUCCGCCUGGGGAGUACGUGCGCAAGCAUGAAACUCAAAGGAAUUGACGGGGACCCGCACAAGCAGCGGAGCAUGUGGUUUAAUUCGAAGCAACGCGAAGAACCUUACCAGGGCUUGACAUACUGAGGACCGGUAUAGAGAUAUACCCUCUUCUUCGGAAGCCUCAAUACAGGUGGUGCAUGGUUGUCGUCAGCUCGUGUCGUGAGAUGUUCAGUUAAGUCUGGCAACGAGCGCAACCCCUAUCUUUAGUUACCAGCAUUUCGGAUGGGGACUCUAAAGAGACUGCCGAUGAUAAAUCGGAGGAAGGUGGGGAUGACGUCAAAUCAUCAUGCCCUAUAUGCCCUGGGCUACACACGUGCUACAAUGGAAGAUACAAAGGGAAGCGAAAUAGUGAUAUUAAGCAAACCUCAAAAAGUCUUUCCCAGUUCGGAUUGUACUCUGCAACUCGAGUACAUGAAGAUGGAGUUGCUAGUAAUCGCAGAUCAGAAUGCUGCGGUGAAUGCGUUCCCGGGUCUUGUACACACCGCCCGUCACACCAUGGAAGCUUGUAAUACCCGAAGCCUGCGAGCAAACC